rnacentral:rRNA from 1 species
GACGAACGCUGGCGGCGUGCUUAACACAUGCAAGUCGAACGGAAAGGCCUGUCCUUCCUUGUGUUGGACGGGUACUCGAGUGGCGAACGGGUGAGUAACACGUGAGUGAUCUGCCCCCAACUUGGGUAUAAGCCUGGGAAACUGGGUCUAAUUCCCGAUAGGACUGCAGGGUGGUGCCUGUGGUGGAAAACGAUUUUCUAGUGGUUGGGGAUGAGCUCGCGGCCUAUCAGCUUGUUGGUGGGGUAAUGGCCUACCAAGGCGGCGACGGGUAGCCGGCCUGAGAGGGUGGGCGGCCCCAUUGGGACUGGGAUACGGCCCAGACUCCUACGGGAGGCAGCAGUGGGGGAUAUUGGACAAUGGGCGGAAGCCUGAUGCAGCGACGCCGCGUGGGGGAUGACGGCCUUCGGGUUGUAAACUCCUUUCGACCGCGAGGAAGCCGCCUGGUUGGAAGGGUGGUGACGGUAGUGGUAGAAGAAGCACCGGCUAACUACGUG